AUUGAACGCUGGCGGCAUGCCUUACACAUGCAAGUCGAACGGUAACGCGGGGCAACCUGGCGACGAGUGGCGAACGGGUGAGUAAUAUAUCGGAACGUGCCCAGUAGUGGGGGAUAGCCCGGCGAAAGCCGGAUUAAUACCGCAUACGACCUACGGGUGCAAGGGGGGGAUCGCAAGACCUCUCGCUAUUGGAGCGGCCGAUAUCAGAUUAGGUAGUUGGUGGGGUAAAAGCCCACCAAGCCAACGAUCUGUAGCGGGUCUGAGAGGACGACCAGCCACACUGGGACUGAGACACGGCCCAGACUCCUACGGGAGGCAGCAGUGGGGAAUUUUGGACAAUGGGCGAAAGCCUGAUCCAGCCAUGCCGCGCACGGGAAGAAGGCCUUCGGGUUGUAAACCGCUUUUGUCAGGGAAGAAAUCCUUUGAGCUAAUACCUCGGGGGGAUGACGGUACCUGAAGAAUAAGCACCGGCUAACUACGUGCCAGCCGCCGCGGUAA
rnacentral:rRNA from 1 species